CUAACAGUUACUACCCAUAGAGUCAGCUCUACAGCUAACAGUUACUACCCAUAGAGUCAGCUCUACAGCUAACAGUUACUACCCAUAGAGUCAGCUCUAAGGCUAACAGUUACUACCCAUUGAGUCAGCUCUACAGCUAACAGUUACUACCCAUAGAGUCAGCUCUACAGCUAACAGUUACUACCCAUAGAGUCAGCUCUACGGCUAACAGUUACUACCCAUAGAGUCAGCUCUACAGCUAACAGUUACUACCCAUAGAGUCAGCUCUACAGCUAACAGUUACUACCCAUAGAGUCAGCUCUACAGCUAACAGUUACUACCCAUAGAGUCAGCUCUAAGGCUAACAGUUACUACCCAUAGAGUCAGCUCUAAGGCUAACAGUUACUACCCAUAGAGUCAGUUCUAAGGCUAACAGUUACUACCCAUAGAGUCAGCUCUAAGGCUAACAUUACUACCCAUAGAGUCAGCUCUAAGGCUAACAGUUACUACCCAUAGAGUCAGCUCUAAGGCUAACAGUUACUACCCAUAGAGUCAGCUCUACAGCUAACAGUUACUACCCAUAGAGUCAGCUCUACAGCUAACAGUUACUACCCAUAGAGUCAGCUCUACGGCUAACAGUUACUACCCAUAGAGUCAGCUCUAAGGCUAACAGUUACUACCCAUAGAGUCAGCUCUACAGCUAACAGUUACUAC
ensembl:lncRNA